rnacentral:rRNA from 1 species
UACGGGGGGGGUGAGCGUUGUUCGGAAUUACUGGGCGUAAAGGGCUCGUAGGCGGCCAACUAAGUCAGACGUGAAAUCCCUCAGCUUAACUGGGGAACUGCGUCUGAUACUGGAUGGCUUGGAUUCGGGAGAGGAAUGCGGAAUUCCAGGUGUAGCGGUGAAAUGCGUAGAUAUCUGGAGGAACACCGGUGACGAAGGCGGCAUUCUGGACCGACAUUGACGCUGAGGAGCGAAAGCCAGGGGAGCAAACGGG